CUGCAAGAACAAACCAGCAAUCCUGAGAAGAACCACAGACCCUCUGAAAGAAGUGGACUGCUUCUGCAGGACCCGGGAGACACCCCAAAUACGCUAAGGAGGAGAGAGGCACAAGGUAUAUCUGCAGAAGUAACCCCAUGGAUUUAAAAGUAGCUACAGCAUCAAUUUAAAGGUUCAAUGAAGAAUGUACAGCCAUGUAGAACUACAAUUGGGGAAAACAGGAAUAAUCUAAUGGAAACAGACCGAGUCGGGAAACCUAUCAAGCCCCGUCAGCUCAGCUUCUUCUUGGCCUCUCCGUGCAGCAUUUCCUUCUCCCAGGGCUUACCAUAGGAGGCCCUGCCGAAGCUGGCACGCUGCAUGGGAGCUAUCCUUAAAUGCCACUCAGAACACUCUCACAGCCUACAGCCUUCAGAAGGAGAGUGUCACAUGGUCUAGCUGCUGAGUGACCGCUGAUCAACAGCUGGCUUCACCUUGUAUCCUGACUCCUGGGAGAUCUUCCUCUCCCAUCUCUCUUCCCUUCUUUCUCUGUAGGCGCAGCUGUCAGGAUCAACUGAACCACUGGGGAUGGCUGUCUUUAGAGAGGAGCUAUGUGGCCUUGAGAAAAGCUGGGUAGAUGGACGGCCUGUCCUUGGAAAUGGGCUCUCUGAAAGGACAAAGCCUAGGAGACUGUUCCUCAGGGUGCAGAGCACAGGCUUGCCUGUUUAUUUAGGUGUGAACCUGGAG
rnacentral:antisense_RNA from 1 species